rfam:Schistosoma haematobium scaffold1455_20, whole genome shotgun sequence.
AUCCAGAUGGUGAGUCUCAACUACGACGAAACGCGCGUCUUGGAU